GGAGGAGGGGUCAGGUGGAGGAGGAGGGGUCAGGUGAUGGAGGAGGGGUCAGGUGAUGAAGGAGGGGUCAGGUGAUGGAGGAGGG